CCAAAGGCUCUUCUCGGAGCCACCUCACUUGGCGGGAAAAGACCUGU
rfam:Ailuropoda melanoleuca scaffold1884_1, whole genome shotgun sequence.